GCGCAACCACAAGAGCCAACACAAGAGACAUGGCCGGAGGGCCAAGAUCACCAGUGGACAAACCUGCCUUUUCAUACGGGCAGGUACUCCACUGAUCCAUAUGGAGCUUCAGGAUCCAGACCUCCGCCCCAAUUCGAUGCAGGACGAUACUCCAACGCAUCCUACGCUUUCACGAAUGACUACUACCAAGAGGCCAGCGCUUUCUUCAACCGCACCGACAACACUCUACUCGACAUCCAGAAUACGCAAAGCAACAAAAAUGGAACCAGGACCACGCCACUGCAGUACAAGAGCUGAGACAAGAUAUCACAACAAUGAACGACAACAUCACCACCAUGAUGCGGUUCUGGAACAUCGGGUAAGACCGACAUCCACAUCCAGCUUGAGGGAGUUCCUCCCCAAUUUAUCAAGUAAGUUUUUAUUUGCUCUUCUUAUUUAUUCUUUUCUAUUUUAGUGUUUUAUUUAAAGAGAAAAACAUAGAAAACCCAAUGAAUAUUUUCU
rnacentral:lncRNA from 1 species